rnacentral:rRNA from 1 species
CAGCCGCCGCGGUAAUACCGAGGGUGCGAGCGUUAAUCGGAUUUACUGGGCGUAAAGCGUGCGUAGGCGGCUUCUUAAGUCGGAUGUGAAAUCCCUGAGCUUAACUUAGGAAUUGCAUUCGAUACUGGGAAGCUAGAGUAUGGGAGAGGAUGGUAGAAUUCCAGGUGUAGCGGUGAAAUGCGUAGAGAUCUGGAGGAAUACCGAUGGCGAAGGCAGCCAUCUGGCCUAAUACUGACGCUGAGGUACGAAAGCAUGGGGAGCAAACAGGAUUAGAUACCCGAGUAGUCCCUGUCUCUUAUAC